UAGAAUAAGGGGCAGAAACAUAUGAUUAUCUCAGAAGAUGCAGGAUAAGCUCCUGAACAAAAGCUCACACUCUUUUGUGUGUGAAAAAAAAAGUCUGAACUCACUAGAGCUAGAAUAGAGCUGCCUCCACCCAUUAAAGACCACCAACGAAAAUCCCCCAGCUAAGGGGGUGCUCAGUGGUGAAAGCCAGAUAGCUCUUCCCCUACGAUCAGGAGGAAGGUGAGGCAAACACUCCCCACUUCCACUCGACACUGUCUGGAAGGCUCUGGCAGGGCAGUUAGGUAAGAAAAAGAUGUCAAGGGCACCCAUAGUGGAAAGGAAGAAGUAAAAUGCUAUGUCGGAAUAUCCAUGUCCUCCCAAUGUUGAAAUCUUUACUCCCCAGGUGAUGGAAUUUGGAAAUGAGACUUUUGCGAGAUUAGGAUAUGAGAGCCUUCAUAAAUUAGAUUCGUGUCUGUAUAAUAGAAGCCUUGGAAGACCCCCGGGCCCCUUCCUUUCACGUUGGGGGACACAGUGAAAAGACAGCCAUCUAUGAAACCAGAAACAGGCCCCUGCCAGACACCAAAUCUACUGGUGCCUUGACCUUGCACUUCCCAGGCUCCAGAACUGUGGGAAAUACAUUAUGUUGUUUAUAAGCCACUUGAUUUAUGGUACUCUGUUGUGGAAGCUCAAAGACACUAGACACAAAACUCUCUGUUUGCUGAUUAUAUGACAUUAUAUAUAGAAAAUCCACCAAAAAUCUAUUAAAACUAAUAAACAUGCAUAGCAAUGUGGCAGGAUACAAGAUCAAUAUACAAAAAUCAAUUUCAUUUCUAUACAAUAGCAAUGAACACUCCAAAAAUGAAGAAGAGAAUCUGGUUUAUACUAUCAGCAAAAAGAACAUUCCUAGAAGUAAAUUUAGCAAAAGAAGCAUAAGACUUGUGUACUGAAAAAUGCAGAAUAUUUUUGAAAGGAAUCAAAUAAUAUGCAAUUAAAUGGAAAGCUGUCCCAAAGUCAUGGAUCAGGAGAUGUAAUAUUGUUAAGAUGGGAACACCCGCAAAUUCAGCUACAGCUUCAAGGCAGUCUCUACCAAACUCCCACCUGGCUUUUUACAAGCUGGUCCUCACAUUUGUCGGGAAAUACAAGGGAUUCGGAAUAGCCAAAACAAUCUAGAAAGAGAAGAGCAAAAUUGGAGGGCUCACAUUUCCUGAUUCAAACUUACUGCAAAGCUACAGUAAUUAAGACAGUGUGGUGCUGGCAUAAGGAGAGACAUACAGAUCAAUGGAGUAAAUUGAGAGUGCAGACACAAAUCCUUGCAUUUAUGGUCAAAUGAUUUUUUUUUUUUUAAAAGAUGAUUCGGCCGGGUGCGGUGGCUCACGCCUGUAAUCCCAGCACUUUGGGAGGCCAAGGUGGGUGGAUCACGAGAUCAAGAGAUCGAGACCAUCCUGGUCAACAUGGUGAAACCCCGUCUCUACUAAAAAUACAAAAAAUUAGCUGGGCAUGGUGGUGCGUGCCUGUAAUCCUGGCUACUCACUACUCAGGAGGCCGAGGCAGGAGAAUUGCCUGAACCCAGUAGGUGGAGGUUGCAGUGAGCCGAGAUGGCGCCAUUGCACUCCAGCCUGGGUAACAAGAGCGAAACUCCGUCUCAAAAAAAAAAAAAAAGGUGAUUCAAGUGCAGUGGUGAGAAGCAGGGAAAGAGUAGAACGAGGUCUUCCAUCUGUAACUGUGAACAAUCAAUUGAGAUCACUCACUUCCUUCAGACCAGCCAUCAGUUGAUUUCUGACAAGGGUGCCAAGACAAUUCAGUGGGGGAAGGAGUAGUCUUUUCAGAAAAUGGUGCUGGGACAACUGGAUAGCCAAGUGCAAAAGAAGGAAUUUGGACCCCUACCUCAUGCUGUGCACCAAAAUUAACUCGAAAUGGAUCAUGGACCUAAAUGUAAGCACUAAAAUUAUAAAAUCCUUAGGAAGGCCGGGCACGGUGGCUCACACCUGUAAUCUCAGCACUUUGGGAGGCUGAGGUGAGCAAAUCACCUGAGAUUAGGAGUUUGAGACCAGCCUGGCCAACCUGGUGAAACCCCAUCUCUACUAAAAACACAAACAUUAGCUGGGUGUGGAGGUGCACGCCUGUAAUCCCAGGUACUCGGGAGGCUGAGACAGAAGAAUUGCUUGAACCCAGGAGGCAGAGCCAUGCUCGCGCCACUGCGGUCCAGCUUGGGUGACAGAGAGAGACUUUGUCUCAAAAAAAAAAGAAAAGAAAAAUUAAAAUCCUUAGGAAAGAACAUAGGAAUAAAUCUUGGCAAGCUUGUGUUAAACAAUGGUUUUUAAUAUACACUAUCAAGGAAGUGGAAAGGCCACCCAUGAAACGGGAGAAAACAUCUAUGAAUCAUCUAUCUGACAAUCUGACUCCUGCCUCAGCCUCCCGAGUAGUUGGGAUUACAGGCAUCUGCCACCAUGCCCUGCUAAUUUUUUGUAUUUUUAGUGGAGAUGGGGUUUCACUAUAUUGGCCAGGCUGGUCUCGAAUGCCUGACCUCAUGAUCCACCCGCCUAGGCCUCCCAAAGUGCUGGAAUUACAGGUGUGAGCCACUGCCCUGGGCCAAUAACUCUUAUAACUUUUCAGCAAAAAGACAAAUCACCUGCCUUUAACAAUGGACCAAGGAUUUGAACAGACCUUGCUCCAAAGAAGAUGUACUCAUGAUCAAUAGCCCACGAUAAGCUGUUCCUAUCAUUAGUCAUCAGGGAAAUGCAAAUCCAAACACAGUGAGAUGCCAGGAUGCACCCGCUAAGGUGGCUGUAAAUGAAUGAGACAGACGUUAGCAAGUGUCGGUGGCGGUGUGGAGAAACAGGAACGCUCGUUCACUGCUGGUGGGAAUGCAAAAUAGUGCAGCCACUUUGGAAAACAGACUGGCUGUUUCUGAAAAUGCUAAACAUACAGUUGCCAUAAGAGCCAGCAGUUCCACUCCAAGAGAAAUGAAGAGAAAUAUCUCCAAAAGAAGUGAAAACAUACAUGUGUAUAACAAUAUGCUCAUGCACGUUCAUAGCGGCAUGGGUUUUUUGUUUGUUGGUUGGUUGGUUUUGUAUUUUUUUUUUGAGACAGAGCCUCACUCCUACACCCAGGCUGGUGUUGAGAACUGAACGCGAGCCCGGGAAUCUCGUCCAGCGAGAGGGUCCCAAACCUGGAAGAGAGCGCAUGCCGGAAAAAAAGGAGACAGAAAAGGCGAGGUCUGGAGGGCUACAUGCACUAUGCUCAUGCAGCAAUUUUUAUUUUUGCAAUGUGUUUCAUUAUAUACCUUUUUGAAGUCAAAGUUGUUUACACUAGAUUAACGUACUUAAGUUACAGUAAGCAAGUUACACCCAAUAAGUAAGUUAAGCACAGUAAGUAGGCUACGCCCAGUAAGUAGGUUACCUCCAGUAAGUAGGUUACGCCCAAUAGGUCAAGGUAAGUAAGUUACAGUCAGGCCCUGUAAGCCAUGGUAAGUAAGUUACAGUUAUGCCCGGUAAGUUAUGAUAAGUAAGUUACCAAGUGUAAAUACUUAAGUUAAUAUUUUACAAUGAAGGUAACAAGGGUAACACAGUCAAGCAAUAAACCAUAAGAAGCUGAAAGUGGACACAAUGCCUCCCAAGUCCUCAUAUCCAUAAAGUAAUGUCUAUUAAUUAUUUAGAAUAGCAUAUGGUUCCUUUCUCGGUUCCUGCUUUCCCUCAGCUCGACUCCCCCAACCGGGGAUCUGUGUCCGGGCUCAAGCUCACCGUAUGGCGAGGCCCAUUUCCCAGGGGCCUCACGCGGGAGCGAUCUUCACAGAUUCCCUCAGGCUGGAGUGCAGUCUUGCAAUCCUGGCUCACUACAACCUCUGCCCCCUGGGCUCAAGAGAUUCUCGUGCCUCAGCCUCCAGAGUAGCUGAGAUUACAGGCACACACCACCACACCCGGUUAAUUUUUGUGUAGAGACAGGGUUUCACCAUGUUGGCUAGGCUGGUCUCAAACUCUUGGCCUCAAGUGAUCCACCUGCCUCAGCCUCCCAAAGUGCUGGGAUUACAGGCAUGAGCCACCGCACCCAGCCAGCACUAGUUUUAAUAGCUAAAAAGUGGGAACAAUUCAAAUGUUCAUCAACGAAUGCAUAGGAAACAUGCUGGUCUAUCCACACAGUGGGAUAUUAUUCAUCCAUUAAAAGGAACAGUGUUAAUCCAAGCUGCAGCAAGGAUGAGCUUGGAGGAUUCCACGCUGAGGGAAAGAAGCCAAACCGAAAACACCACACGUGUUGUGAUUCAUUCAUUCCAAGUGUUCAGAAUGGGCAAAUGAGCAGAGAUGGAAAGUAGAUUGAUUAGUGGCUGCCUGGGCCUUUGGGGGACAGGACGGGUGCGUGCGUGUGGGGGUCUGUCCUGGGGAUGGUGAAACUGUUCUGAAAUUAAGCAGUGGUGAUGGUUGCAGAAUUCUGACUACAGCAAAGUGCCACCACACUGUCUACAGCUAGACUUGAAACUGCUAAGCUUUGUGCUAUGUGAAUUAUACCUCAAUAAAGGUGUAAAAAAACUCCCCAAAUACCAACAAAAGCAGCCAACGGAGAAGGCUUCCGACGCGUGCUGCUGCGGGCUGUGGGCUGGGGAGGCUGAGGCGGCCACCCAGAGCAGGGCCUCCUGCAGCUUGGCGAGGGACAUACUUGGCUUCCUCCAGUUGGUCCUGAGUUGGGGGCAAAAAUAGGGAACCCGGCAGCCGUUAGCCACGGCCUGAGCCUCUGGGAUGAUUGCUACAGAGGUAUGGUUUGGUGUCCCGGCUUCUCAGGGGUCAGAGUUACUGACGUACGUGACCCGGCCACUGCCUGCUGGCACAGCUAGUCUUUCCUCCCCGUGUGGAAAGUCGGGACAAAAACUGUCCUACGUCCGGCGUUGACAGGCAGGGCUGAGUGCCAUCUGAGGCCUGGGACACAUGUGUAGCUAUCUUCUCCAGGGGUUCCUGGCUGGCCCUGUUCUGCCCAGGGGGCCCUGCCCUUGUACGGAUUCCCGUCUAGAGGGGGAAACCAGUAAACAGGUGGGCACAUCGGUCAAUUCAAGAAUUUGGGGUAGUGACCAGAGCUACAGAGGAAGCAAGAGGUAAUGGGAAAAGCAAUGAUAUGGGGCUUAGCAGUCAGGGCCAAGAUGCCGGGCAGGGACAGUGCCCCAAGGCCUUUGCCUGACACUUGGGGGAUAAGGGGGCCCUUCCACGCCAGGGAAUAGCAAAGGCCCAAGGCCAGAGAGUGUUGGAGGGGACUCUGGGGUGACAUGGGGCUGGGAUCCUACGUGUUACUGUGUGGGUGCUCACAGGUAUGGAGCCCUGGGGAGCAGUGAACGCAGGGCCCGAUUUGUUCCUUUAAACCUCUUUGGUUGAAGGUCAACAACAGACCAGGGGCCAGACGGGAAGCAGGGAGACGGAUGAUCGCUUCCUACAGGGGCCAGGCCGGAGCUGACGGCAGCUGGGACUAGAGGCAGAGAUGGCCAAGAGGUCCCAAGCAAGGGGCCCUCCCUGCUUUCGGGACAGUAAACAGUCCCCCUUGUGAGGUUUGCAGGGGGAUGCAAGGCUUGGGGGGCAGGGAGGGGUGGGGACCCCAGGGAGGAAGGGAGGACUGAGCACCAGAGGGUGUGGGUGCUUUCAGGUUCAUUCAUGCACGGAUUUGGGGUGAGAUGCAGGACUGGGCACACCCCAUGGGGUGGGCCAGGGCUGGGAGCCUGAGCAUGCAGUGCCCAGUGGGAGCUCGAUGAGCUGUCCCCGGGGUCUCUUUGGAGACCCCAAGUCAUAGGAUCUGCUAAACUCUCUGUGCAGGGUGGGGAUGGGAGUCUCUCCAGGAGCUGCAGGGCUCUGGGGGCCUCCCCUUUGUUCUUUCUCUGGGUCGGAGACAGGAGGAGGGAGGGUAGACAGGAUGCUAUAGGCACAGGCUGAGGCCUGGCUGGCCUCCGAAGGCCCAUGGCCUUGACCAAGAGCAGCAGACUGUGGCCAGGCAGGGCCACCAAAGCCCAGGAUGGACAUCAGAGCGGUCCCCUACCAUGGAGACCUUGUCCCCUCAGAGGAUCCCGGCUAGCACCUGCACAACCUGGCACACACACUGUUAUCCUCACAAGGACUCCUGGACAUGAGAAGGCUGGUGAGGCUCCGAUACCGUCUCCUCUCAGGAUCCCUGGCAGUCAGCGGAAUCCAGAAAUCCAGGCUGAGCUGAGCAGGGGGAGGCCCUGUCCAGGGUAGAUGGCCUACAUGGGCCUACUGGCCGGUGUGGGGCCUCCUGGGUGGGCCCAGAGGGCUGAUGGCUGGACUGGUGGGCCCAGAGGGGCAGUAAAUAGUCUGCCUAUUUACUGUCUCCAGCUGUGGCUCCCCUCCACUGAUGGGGCCCCCUCUCUGGGGUUUCCCCUCUGCUGAUGGGCUCCUCUUCCUGGACCGACUGACCCCUCCACCCUGUCUAUGUCUGCAGGUUGGGAACAGGUGGGGUUGGCUGGCACCUGACACUGAUUUAUUAAUAAAUAAAUCAAUAAUUUUGGGGGGCGUCUGCCUGCUGGGGGUGGGAUGGGUGGUUGGGCUCACCUUCACUCUUGUCUAAACCCAUGAGUUUUUGUUCAACAUUGGGAUGGGGAAGCAGUUAGGACCCUGUUCCCUGUGGGGAGUGAGGCCGGUGUGGGGUGUCUGUUGCCCAUGACCAGAGUGGCUGAGCAACCUGUGCUUCAUGUCCCCAAGCACAGUAUAGCCGUGGGGAGCCCAGGGGCCACUGAUCCCCUUCCUACAGCCUGCGUGGGGCUUAGAGGGCCUGGGAGUGCAGAAGAGGACCCAGCCUGCUUUCCACAUUGGCUCCGUUCCCUCUGUGCUGGUGCCCACCAGGCCCGGCCUUCUCUGGCCAGAUUCACCUUGCCCUGGACCCGGCUCUGUCCCCACCCUGUGUUGUCACCAUCCCCUGUGUGGAGGGACCCAAGAGGGCUCUUCCCCCAGCUUCAGGAGCUCUUCCUGCCCAUGGUCCUCACAGUCUGGGCCUCCCCAGAGGUUUCUGGGGCCAUCAGUUCACUGAACAAGCCUAUCCCAGCUGUUAGUGACAUUGCCUUGUUUACGAGCUGGGCCACAGAGAGGAAGCUGUGCUGCUGAAGGGGACCCUGAAUUUCCCACUGGAGAGGCUGCCUGGCUGAGACCUCAACAAGUGGGCAGUGACCAAGAAAAGAAAGGGGAGGUUGUCGGACGCUGGCCAGCCCCACCUGGCCCCAACUUGCAGACUUGGCCCAGGGAGGGGAGCCCUCCUGGAGAAGGGACCUCAUCAAGCAGAAGGAAGCCCCCCCUAGAGAGGGGACCCCAUCAGCGGAGGGGAGCCCCACCUGGAGAGGUGACCCCAUCAGUGGAUGGGAGUCCCAGGUAGAGAGAGGGGAGCCCCAGAUGGAAAGGAGGCCCAUCAGUGGAGGGGAGCCCCAGGUGGAAAAAGGAUCCUGUCAGUGGAGGGGAGCCCCAGAUGAAAAGGCAACUCUAUCAGUGGAGGGGAGCCACAGGUAGAGAGGGGACCCCAUCAGCAGAGGGGAGCCCACAGGGGUAUCCAGACAGGAGGCCAGGUUGGGUAUCCUGGGAGUGGGAAGUGGGUCAAAGGUGAGACUUUUGCAGGGGGCAAGGUUGUUUCAGGUUGGGAGUGCCCGGUGGGCAGUGGGGGUAGCUGGAUGCAGCAGGGAGGAGGAGCGGAUGGCCAGGCAUGGGCCCCGGCUGCGAAGAGCACAGCCAUGGAAGAGGAGGGAGGUGGAGCCAUGUGGGGAGCAGGCUGGGGAGAGAGGCCCGGGGAGGCUGAUGGUUUGGCUCUGAGGUGAAGGAGAACGAAGAGCCAUCUUUGUUGCCGCAGUCACCACUCUGCUCUCCAAAUCGAUCCUGAAUAACUUUGAGAAGAAAACUUAAAAAUGAGACCAGUGAGUGGGAGGUGGGAGGGGCUCGUGGCAGACGAGGGGGCCGCCCCACUCCCUUUGGCUGUGGGGGCGCUGGGGGCCACAUGCAUGCCAGGGACGCAGAGCCCCUGGCCCUGGGCCAGCCUCACUGGCAGUGUCUGGGGACAGUGGGUCUCUGUGAUUCCUCCUCAUCCCCACGGUCCCUGGCUGGGUGCCCACCCUUGCCCUCAUCUCGCCGUCUGCCUUCCUUUCAUUUCUUUUUGGCCUGGUUUUCUCACUGUCCAGGAAGGAACUUGGCGUCUUGCACCCGAGGUAGGCAGAGCCAGGAGCCCAGCUGACCUAGAAGGGCUCGGGUGGAGCGGGUGUGUGGUGGGAAAGUGGCUGAAGCCUCUGGCCUGCCUCAUCCUCCAUGCCUGGAGCCUUCCCCUCCAUCCUCAUGCUUUCCAGAGGGUCAGCCAUGCGGGCAAGAUCUGGGCCCAUUCUGGACCCUGCUGUAUCCCAGGGACCAUUUAAAUGGGGGCCCAGCACAGACUAGGAGUUCAUUUGUUAAAUGGAUAAGCAAAGCCCAAAGCCCGUUGUGUUCCUUGCCUGAGCCAAGAAGGAAGCCUGGGCCUGGCCUCUGAGUCCAGCCAUGCGCCUUGCAGGGUAGGAAGACAGUGGCAUUGCAUAACUGACCAGCUAUAGGACUGGGCCACGCCGAGAGGGAGAGGUGCCUGGAUGUCCCCACAGUGCCCGUCAGACUCCUCCUUCCCGGCUGCUGGCACCUCCUUGGUUUUUCAACCCCGUCGGAGUCCAGGGGUAAGGCGAGACUGGGAACACUGUCUCCUCCCCUGGACGUGGCUGAUCUCAGCCUGGAGCCCCUCCGCAGGGUUUCCCAGGAGCAGGUUCCAGACCCUGAGCCCAGGACUGCGUGUGCCCAGCACUCAAGCACUGAGAGACCCAUCUUGUGUCCCAUGAGCCUUCAGUGCUGGGUGUCGGGUGAUGGCAGAGCGCUGGUGGGGCUGAUGGUCUUCUCCAUCCGUCUGCAACUCCAGACUCAUAUGUGACCUUGGGUCCUCAGUGUGCACAGCAUGUGGGGGGUGAGGGGCUGCUGCGGUCUCAAUGUGCCUCCAUCACUGUUCCCAUGAUGAGCUCACAUCAUUGUCGUGCCAGCAGGCUCUGACAGGAGGAGUUUAGUCCCCUCCUCUCUGGCUGUCUCUCUCGGCCUGUCUUUGCCCUUCCAUCAUGAAAUGAGGCAGCCUCACCAGAGGCGGCCCCUCAAUCUUGGAUCUCCCGGCAUCUAGAACCAGGAGCCAGUAAAUUACCCAGUCUGUGGUUUUCUGUUAUAACAGCUCAUGACGAACUCCGACCACAGGGCCCGCCAGGUCCCCCAGCUUAUCACCACGAGGCCACGCCCUGAUGGGUCUGCAUCCGGGUACCUGCCCCAAUCUCACGCUGAAUUGGAAUCCCCAGCUUAUCACCACGAGGCCACGCCCUGAUGGGUCUGCAUCCGGGUACCUGCCCCAAUCUCACGCUGAAUUGGAAUCCCCAGCUUAUCACCACGAGGCCACGCCCUGAUGGGUCUGCAUCCGGGUACCUGCCCCAAUCUCACACUGAAUUGGAAUCCCCAGCUUAUCACCACGAGGCGACGCCCUGAUGGGUCUGCAUCCGGGUACCUGCCCCAAUCUCCCGCUGAAUUGGAAUCCCCAGUGCUGCACAUGGGGCCUGCUGGGAGGCGAUGGCAUCAUGGGGAUGGACUUCCCCCGUGGUGCUGGUCUGGUGAGUUCUCAUGACAGCUGCUUGUUUAAAAGCGUGUGACACCUCCCCUCCCUUCCUCUGGGCUUCCUCCUGCCCGGCCAUGUGAAGCGCCAGCUCCCCCUUCGCCUUCCGCCAUGAUUGUAAGUUUCCUGAGCCCACCCCCAGAAGCCAAGUAGGUGCCAGCACCAGGCUUUCUGUACAGCCUGGGGAACCGUAAGCCAAUUAAACCUCUUUUCUUUAUAAAUUACCCGGUCUCAAGUAUUCUUCACACUACUGCAAGAACAGACUAACACACCCACUUUGUCCGCAGGACUCCACUCUCCACCAAACUUCACGUACAAAUACACAGGUUUCCCUCUUCCUUUGGGACCUCAUUUCUUUUUUCUGUUUUUCUUUUUAUUUUUUUGAGAUGGAGUCUCACUGUCACCCAGGCUGGAAUGUAGUGGCGUGAUCUCGGCUCACUGCAACCUCCGCCUCCUGGGUUCAAGCCAGUCUCCUGCCUCAGCCUCCCCAGUAGCUAGGACUACAGGCAUGUGCCACCUCGCCCAGCUAAUUUUUGUAUUUUUAGUAGAGACGGGGUUUUACCAUAUUGGCCAGGCUUGUCUUGAACUCCUGAUUUCAAAUGAUCUGCCCGCCUCAGCCUCCCAAAGUGCUGGGGCCUCACUUCUGAAGGCUCCUAUUCUACAUGAAACUUAUAUUGAAUAAAUGUGUCUGCUUUGCUUCUGUUAAUGUCUUUUGCUCGGAGAGCCUCAACCAUGAACCUUGCCACGAGUGAGGCCUUUUCCUGCAGGUGCUUCGGCCGUGGUGGGGGUUCUGUGAGGGCCUGGUGGUUUACAGAAGCAGGCCUCCCAACAGAGAAGUAGGCCCAGGGCAGGGAGCAUAACGACAUCGAAGACGGUGGGAUGCCCGCCAGGCUGAGCUGGGCCCCAGGGAAGCCCAGGAAGCUGCCCUCUGCCCCACUCACCUGCGAGCAUAUUCUCCCAGGGGGUCCUAAAUCUGGUGCCUGCCCUGACGUGCUUCUUGUCCCACACUCCCUGCUCGGGCUCUGGAGACAGAGCUCCGAAGGCUCGUGGGUCCCCAUCACUUUCACUGUUGGCCACGUCAAAGGCUGCUGGUCAGACCCUGAGUCCCUCUGCAGUGGCCCAAGGGUCCAAAGUCAUGUGGAUCAGAAGGAAGGGCCUUGCCCCACCCCACAAGGGGCUGUGGACAGAGCCCCCACCCAGGGCUGUCAUGGGAGGCUGUGAACGCCCCCGCCCCCGCACACAUCAAGCCCGCAGGGCAUGUGCCCACUCCCCGCCUGGCAGAAUGUGACACACCUGCCGGUCUGAUUCCAGGAGAGGAGGACAAGCGUGUGGCAGUCCCGACCUUCAGCACCUCGUAUGGGACCUUAUUUGGAAAUAGGGUCCCUGCAGAUGGAACUGAGAUAUGGCCAUAGGGUGGGCCCUGCUUGGCUCUGACCGGUGACCUUAGGAACAGGGAAUCUGGAUGCCCACUCACACACUGGAAGGACCCGUGUGAAGAUGAAGGCGGAGAUGGGAGUGCCAAGAAACCCGAGGCUGCCCGGGAGCCCCAGAGGCUGGAGGGACUGGGCAGAGGCCCCCUCGCAGCCCCAAACUUGAGCUUGGCCUUGGGGCCCCAGGGCUGGGAAGAGAAAUGUCUGCUGUGAAGGCUGCCAGACUGCGGCUCUUUGCCGUGGGAGUCCUAGCAGAUGAGUGCAGGUGACUUUAGUCAGGCCCAACGAGCAACCCCGAAUGGUGCGGACCCAUCAGAACAGGGAUGGCCACAGCAUCGACUGACGUCUCAGAAGCUCUUUGUCAUUCCCUGCUUGGAUCCUGGGGGAAGGGAUUGGGGUGGCUUCUGGGGGACACCUGGAGGCUCGGGGUAGGGGCUGUUCAACUCGCAUGGAAACUGUUUUGUGUUUUCACAACCACAUGGCUGUGCAGGUGCACACCACUCUGUGUCAGGCCAGGGGGACAAGAAAUGCCCUCAGGUCCCAGGAGGUCAUGGCUUCCAUGUCAGCAGAGCUCUCUGCCCAGGCACGACCUUUGGAAUUUGUUGUUUGGAAACUGUCUGAGGUUGAGUUCCCCAAGAGACACUCCCAGAUAGAGACAUGCAGGUCCAGGGUAGAGGGGUGAGUGCUCUUGAGGACAAAGGCUGUGAGAGGGGGCGGGAGCAGGUCGGGGAGCUGAGCUGUGCUCCACUCAAAGGUUUUUGAUGAGGUCUCGGUGCUUUUGGUGCUGAAGGGGCCCUUAGAGAGGCCAUGAAUGGAGGUAAAGGACUGACCCAUUGCUUCCUCCCUUCGACUAUUCAUGGGGUAGGGGUGGCUCCCAGGGCAGGGAGAAACCCUGGGUCAGAAACUGCCUUUGGCUGAGGGCAUUUCCUUGGGAAGGGCAAGCUGUAAGCUGCGGGCAGCUGGCUGGACCCGCGCUGUGGUCCCGCUGGGAGGGAUGGUGCAGUGCACAGCGGCAAGCGCCUGCCACGGUCCUCCAUGAUGUCGAUGUAGAGAUGUAGAGACAGAUACACAGAAUGAUAUAGAUAAAUAAGUACAGAUCCAUAGAGAUGAAGACAGGCAGGCAGGCAGACAGACAGGCACGCAGACAGGCAGGCAGGCAGACAGGCAGGCAGACAGACAGGCAGACAGGCAGACAGGCAGGCAGGCAGGCAGGCAGGCAGGCAGACAGGCAGGCAGGCAGGCAGGCAGGCAGGCAGGCAGGCAGACAGAUAGACAGACAGGCAGGCAGACAGGCAGACAGGCAGGCAGGCAGGCAGGCAGGCAGGCAGACAGAUAGACAGACAGGCAGGCAGACAGGCAGGCAGGCAGGCAGAUAGACAGACAGACAAGCAGGCAGACAGGCAGACAUAGACAGACAGAGAGGCAGGCAGAUAGGCAGACACAGACAGACAGAUAGGCAGGCAGAUAGAUAGGCAGGCAGGCAGGCAGACAGAUAGACAGACAGGCAGACAGGCAGGCAGGCAGGCAGGCAGAUAGACAGACAGACAAGCAGGCAGACAGGCAGACAUAGACAGACAGAGAGGCAGGCAGAUAGGCAGACAGGCAGGCAGACACAGACAGACAGAUAGGCAGGCAGAUAGAUAGACAGGCAGGCAGACAGGCAGGCAGGCAGACAGACAGGCAGACAGACAGGCAGACAGACAGGCAGGCAGACAGGCAGGCAGGCAGACACAGGCAGACAGGCAGACAGGCAGGCAGACACAGACAGACAGAUAGACAGACUGGCAGGCAGGCAGACAGAUAGGUAGGUACAGACAGAUAGGCAGACAGAUGGGCAUACAGGCAGGCAGACAGACAGACAGACAGGCAGGCAGACAGAUAGGCAGAUAGACAGACAGACUGGCAGGCAGGCAGACAGAUAGGCAGACACAGACAGACAGAUAGACAGGCAGACAGAUAGACUGGCAGGCAGGCAGACCUAUAAAGAUAGAUUAGAUAGACAUGGAGAUGCAGGCAGAGACACAGAUGUGGGUAGACAUGUAGAUAAGUAGAGAUACAGGUAGCUAAGUAGCUAGGUAGCUGGAUGGGCGGAUGGAUGGAAGGGGAUUUAUUAUGGGAAUUGACUGACAUGAUUAUGGACACUCAGAAGUCCCAUGAUUUGCCCUGCGCAAGCUGGAGACCCAGGGAGACUGGUAGUGUGGCUCCGUUCAAGCCUGAAGACCUGGUAAGCAGGGAGGCUGGCUGCGUAACUCUCGGUCAGAGGGCCACUGGUGUAAGUCCCAGGGUCCAAAGGCCAGAGAAGCAGGAGUUCCAGUGUCUAAGGGUAGUAGGAGGUGGGUGUCCCAGCUCUGGUGGGCGAGAGAGAGAGAGAGAGAGAGAGAGAGAGAGAGAGCGAGCAAGAGAGCCCAGUUCAUCUUCCGUUCUGCCUGGGCCCUCCGUGGUUUGGAUGGUGCCGUCCCACAUUGGGGAGGACAGAUCUUCCUUGCUUAUCCCUCAGAUUCAAACGCCAGUGCCUCCUGGAAACACCCUCACAGGCACACGCAGAGAUGAUGCUUCAGUGCUCUCUGGCUGUCCCUUCACCCAGUUCAAGCUGACCGCUGAACUGAACCAUCACGCGUUCACUCCCUGUCGACUUGGAGGCCAUACGCAUCUCCUUAAACUGUACGUACUCUCCGACAGACCACAGCAAGGCCAUGGUUCCAGCUAACGGGUUACAACUACCCCAUGCAACCAGACGCACUGACCCCUUCCCUGGAAGAGGAGGGGAGUCCUGGAGUGAUGCUGACUCUCCCGACUACCUGCGGCUUCAAGACUGUGGUGUGAAGUUAGCGAUACCUUGACACUGAGACAAAGUCACUACAUCUUAUGUUACGUGAUAAAAGAGUGAGAGAGGAAAGACAACAGAAACUCGCUUAAUAUACGUACCCAUAUGCACGAAUGCUUUCUUAACAAAGUAGAGAGGAAACACACGUGACAGUUACAGUCCUCAUUUCUGUAACCGGCCAAGCUACAGGAGCGCCUGGUGUUUAUAACCAAGGUCUUCUCCCGUUCUGUGGUCCCUUUGCCCUAGCAAGCGCCUCAGCUGGUGGUGGUUCUGUACCUGGCCAAGGUGACCCAAGGCUUCAUUGCUUAAGGGUCUGGGCCUUCUGUAGUUUCCCAGGGAUCUUAACCACAAGGUGUGGUUCUACUCAGGGAAGCCCUAAGGGGCCUCCUGCAUUCCACGCUGGCUCUUCCAACCUCGGUUGUGGAGUGCAGUCCAAUGCCCCCUGGGUCCUCCAGAUCAAUCCCCAGCCAGCAUCCAAACUCCCCUCUUGGGCUGUUGACUCUGAGGCUUGAGGAGCCCCCGGUGCCCGGGUGCCUGGGUGGCACCUUAACUUCCAGUUCAAUGGAGUCAUUGCUAUGUCCCCUGGUGGCAGCAUUCCUCGGCUGGGAACCAAGGUCCCUAGGCUGGCAGAGCAUAAAGUCAUGGGAACAGGAAAGGAAAAGUCUGCUAGUGGGUCACUGGGGGUGAGGGAGGGUGGUGCCACUCCCACUUCUGCCCCCUGGUUCCCAGGCCGGGGAAUCCUGACUGUGGGAGAAACAGCUGCACAUACUGGACACUGAUCAGAGCCCACACAUCCUCCUGGAGCGCCUUGCCCCAGCCCCGCAAGGUGUCGCCACCCAGCUGGUACUGGAGCUGCGUCUGCAAAAGCCCAUUCCACCAUUCCGUCAUGCCAGCUGCUUCAGGACGAUGGAGAACACAGUAAGACCCAUGAAUGCCCGGAGCAUGAGUCUUUGCCACACUUCUUUGGCUGCAAAGUGAGUUCCUUGGUCAAAGCAACACUGCGUGGACAGCGUGGCCGUGGAUGAGCAUUCUGAGCCCACAGAGGGUAGUGGUGACCAUGUGCAGGGAGGGCAAGUCCGUAUCCAUGGCAGGUGCCCAUCCCAGUAAGAACAAACCACGGGAGCCAUCUGGUGUCAUCCACUGGCCCCAGGCACGGGCUGGUCACUCUGGGGAAUGGACCUUGUCAGGCUGAGUGCUGGCCUCUGCUGCUGGCAGAUGGGGCACCCGGUGGUGGUGCCACCCAGCUCGGCCUUGGUGAGUGAAAGUCCAUGUUGCUGAGCCCAUGUGCAGCCUCCAUCCCUGCCACCACAGCCACUUGGCUCAUGAGUGCACUGGGUGAUGAGAGGGCCAACUGGGAAAAGGCUAUCUGGUGUUCACAGAGCGGGUCAUCCUGUCCACCUGAUUACUGAAGUCCUGCUCUGCUGAGGUCACCCUUUGCUCAGCCUUCACAUGGGACACAGAUAUCUUGAUGUCCUUUGCCUGUUCAGAGAGGGCUCUCUCUACAUCUCUUCCACAAAUGUCUUUGUCACCAGUUUUCCAAUCAUGUUCCUUUCAAGCACCUGAACAUCCCCCUAAAGCCCUUCAACAGCCACGAAUCGGAUAUCAUCACACAUCUGCUCCUUCUAGGCGGAGCGCCAACAGGUGCAUGGGAAGUUCUACUCAUGGGGAAGAUUCCUCUUCGCCACUGUCCUUGAGGGGUGUCCCCCAGGGGCUACAGGGCUGCAGCUGUCUGCCUUACGGCCGGGCCUGCCUGCUGAGCAGAACCGCUUGUAAGCGUGGCCUGACUCUCCUUUUCCUCUGUCAACUAGUGAGAGGGAACUCCUCAUGCAGCUCCAGGAGCAGCCGGGGAGGGAGAAGGCGGGGAGCAGGAGCGGGGCCACGGGCUUCGGGCCUCUUGUUCGUGUAACUUACUCAUGCCUUCAGGACCUGAUCUCCUCCCCCCACCUCCACUGGAUGAUACGGCUCUGCUGGGCACACAUGACGUCACGGCUAUGUGGGUCAGAUAAUCCUGACUGUGACGAGCAGUUCAGGUCUCCCGGGUUCCAGUGAGUCUCCUGCCUCGAGUAGCUGGGAGGACAGGCAUGGGCCAGCACACCUGGCUAACUUUGUAUUUUUAGUAGAGACGGUUUCACCAUAUUGGCCAGGCUGGUCUCAAACUCCCAACCUCAGGUGAUCCACCCACCUCGGCCUCGCAAAGUGCUGGAAUUAGAAGCAUGAGCCACCGUGCCUGGCUGCCAAGUGUUUUGCUCCUACGAAGGCCCAGAAGCAGGCCAAGGGCUGUUUCUCAGGAGACACCCGAGGCACCACUGGACGUGCUGGGUCAUGGAGCCUGCCAGGCAGAGAGGCAUGGAUGGAGCCUGGACCUACUGCAAGAGCCUUCUCUUGCUCUGGGCCGUGUUUAAACCAGCAGCUUUUCAGGUCACUCAGGAAAUGGACAGAGUUGGACACCUAAAGAGCAAGAACGUGUCGACCCUGCAUCAAACAGGCCCCCCUAGUGUUGUUUUUCCCUUCUGGUCACAGGAGGAUUCAGACACAGCAACUUACCCUUCACCUUGGAACAGAACCCACGCCCCUGGAAAUUUCGCUGAGCAUAAUGUCAUCAGUGUAAUGGGCCAGUGUGACAUCCUGGGGAAGGGAGAGGCAAUCAAGACCCCUGAGAACUACCUUUGGACACAGGCUGGAGAGGACUGGAGUUUUACAAGAGGAGAUGAGGACACGGGCACGGACUGGGGGAAGACCCUGUGAGGAUACAGAGAGAAGCCGCAGUCAUCUGCAAGCCAAGAAGAGAGGCCUGGGGAGGAGCCAGCCUGGCAGAGCCUUCAUCUUGCACGCCAGCCUCCGGGACGCUGAGACCGUGAGUCUGUUGUGUAAGCCACCCUGUCUGCGGUGCAGACAAAUGCACUUAGGGUCAGCUCGUUGGUCCUGAAGCUUGUGAGCAGCACGGGGGUAAUGAUCUGGCACUGCCUCCCAGGAAGCUCACGAGAGGGUCACGUCCUGUUCUCCCGGACAGCGCUCCGAUGUCGACACACUCUCCCUUCUCUAACUUUCCAUUUCCCCGCGACCCUGCGGCUCCGGGGCUGACUCCGAGGCGCUCCUACGUCCUGACUGGUUCCUGCAGCUUCGAGGCCCGGUCCUCUUUCUAUCUUCCCCAGCUCUGAACUUCCGGCAGCUUUCGGACUGAGCAUCUCCGUCGUGAAGCGGGAGGGUCUGUGGAACCCCACCCCUUUCCAAGGACAGAAGCUGUUUGCGAUGGUUCAUUUGGUCUGGCAGCCUGACCGGGCCAUGCGAUGUCCAGAUACUUGGUCAGGCAGUAUUCUGGGUGUGUCUGUGGGGAGAUGAGCGUUUGCUCAGGGGACGGUGUGAAGCAGCUUGGGGACAGUGUGCGUGGGCCUCGUCCAACCCACUGAAGGCCUGCAUAGAACGGGAAGGAUGCGUGGGAGAGAAGUCCUCCCACCUGGCUGAGCUGGGACAUUGGUUUUUUUCUGUCUUCAGAUUCAAACUGAAGCAUUGGGUCUUGUUGGGUCUGGAGCCUGUCGGCUUUCAGACUGGAGCUUGUCCCCUCGGCCCUCCUGGGUCUCCAGGUUCCCAGCUGCAGAUCUUGGGACUUCUCAGCCUCUGUAACUGUGUGGGCCAAGUCCUUACAAUGAUCUCUGUCUGCGUAGACAUACACGUCCUACUGGCUCGGUUUCUCUGGAGAAUCCCGACUGUUCCUCAGCCUCCUUGGAACUGUUCCAGAGCCCUGAUGUUGGCCUGGGAGUCGAUUCUGGUGGAAUUUACCCACGUGCUUGGAGCUGGACGUGCAGAGUUUGCACAAGACCACCUCACGCUGAGACCGUGAGUCUGUUGUGUACUUCUUCUCCCACCCAAUUCCUGUGUCCAUCCCAGCUGGGACAAGCAACACUACACCAGGGUCCCCAGAUCCCUGACCUCCCCUGUCCAGCAACCUUCAUUUCCCCCACUGUGCCCGUCACCACCCCUGGGGUCUCUUUAAUCUUGGAUUGCUUCUGCUCUGAGAUUUAAAGUCCAAACCUUGCAUCCCUUCCACACCUCCAGGCCCUCCGUGUCUGCCUUGCCCACCUGCUUCGCCGGGAGCUCCCCACUCAGCCGCACUGCCUGCUUCCCUUGCUGCACUUCUGUGUCUACACAGCGGGGACACCUGGUCCUUCACUUUAAUCACACCCUUGCCCGUGUCCUGAACUCCUCUGUUGGUUGCAGCAGCCUUUAUAUAUUUAUUAUUUAUUUAUUUUGUGAUGGAGUCUCACUCUGUCGCCCAGGCUGGAGUGCAGUGGCAUGAUCUCGGCUCACUGCAACCUCCACCUCCCUGGUUUAAGCCAUUCUCCUGCCUCAGCCUCCCGAGUAGUGGGACUAUAGGUGCACACCACCACACGUGGCUCAUUUUUGUAUUCUUAGUAGAGAUAGGGUUUCCCCAUGUUGGCCAGGAUGGUCUCGAUCUCUUGACCUUGUGAUCUGCCCACCUUGGCCGUCAAAGUGUUGGGAUUACGGGAAUGAGCCACCGCACUCAGCCCGGAACAGCCUUCACAUUGCCCUGGAGGGCUUGUUAGACACGGAUUGCUAGGCCACAGCAUCCCUGAUUUGGGAAGCCCGGGCAGGGCCUGAGAACCUGCAUUUCGGCCACAUUCCCAGGUGAUGCAGCUGGCCCAGGAACCACGCCUUGCAUGUAGGCUACGUUGCAGUAACAAUACACCCUGAGGUCUCAGGUUUAUUUUUCACUUGCAUACGGUGGUCGAGUGACUCUUCAUCUUUCAGCUGACUUUGGGAACAUGUGGCCUGGAAGGUCACCUGGGAAAGGUGUAAGGUCCCUCCAUGCCACGGAUGCCAUGGCGGUCCCCGUGACCCGCACGUACACCUCUGGAUGGCCUCCCGGAAUCAGAAGAUCUGAGAAGGCGAAGAAAUGAUUAACCCCUGAGGUGCCUACUUAACUUUGAGACCUUCUCUAUUCUUCCUUAUUCCCGCCCCAAUUGAUAAGGUUGGACUGUGUAACGGACCUUGGUCAACCUCAUGACUCCACACCCUACAACCCCCUCCCAGGUUGCAAAAGAAAUGCCCAAAAAUGUAACUUCUUUUUUUUUUUUUUGAGACAGAGUUUCGCUCUUGUUACCCAGGCUGGAGUGCAAUGGCGCCAUCUCGGCUCACCACAACCUCCUCCUCCUGGGUUCAGGCAAUUCUCCUGCCUCAGCCUCCCGAGUAGCUGGGAUUACAGGCACGCACCACCAUGCCCAGCUAAUUUUUUGUAUUUUUAGUAGAGACGGGGUUUCACCAUGUUGACCAGGAUGGUCUCCAUCUCUUGACCUCGUGAUCCACCCACCUCGGCCUCCCAAAGUGCUGGGAUUACAGGCGUGAGCCACCGUGCCCGGCAAAAACUGUUAACUUCUGUAACUUUCCACGGUUUACCACCCCCAAACCUGUAAAACCGACUGCUGUUCCUCUGGCCUCCGCUGACUCCCCUUUCGGACUCAGCCGACCUCCACCUGGGUGAAUAAACAACCAUGUUGUUCACACAAAGCCUAGAGGGUCUCUGCAUUCAGAGGGUGCAUUUCAACAUUUGGUGCCAGAAAUCCGGGAUGGGGUACUCCUUUGGAGAGACCAGCCCCCGAUCCCCACUUUCCCUCUGUGAAGAGACCCACCUGAGACCUCAACACAUCAGACCAGACUGACCCAGUAGCUUACGCUUGGCGGCCAAACCACUCUCCAGCCACCUGCAGAUCAGGUAAGCAGCCUCCCCCUCGUUCUCUCUCUUUUCCUUUAAAUCUUUCUCCUUCUAGUAGACACAAAGAGAUGCUACCUGUGUAGAGCUGGAGGAGACAAGUCUCUCCCUCGUUCUCUCUCUUUUCCUUUAAAUCUUUCUCCUUCUAGUAGACACAAAGAGACGCUACCUGUGUAGAGCUGGAGGAGACAAGUCUCUCCCUGUCGCUGAACUCCGAUGUCAGUCACAGACUCAGGAAGACAGUCUCCCCUUGGUGUCUGGUCAAUCUCGGGGACGCCUGCCUUGAUCACUCACCCACGUCACAGCCCGGGAAUCAGUCAGGGAUGCCCCUCUCCUUUCCCUAAAACGUACCCCCUUCGCUAUGGGCAAUGUUCCGCCCUCUGUGCCUCGUCUUCGGCUCUAGCCUGCAUCCUAAAAAACCUAACGCCUCUUCAACUGUUGCCCAGUCUGAAAGCUAAAUGUCUCAUUUGUUUAACGUAAACCGCCUGGCCUCCAUACAAACUAGACGAUGGUUCCAAAUGGCCAGAAGACGGCACUUUCAAGUUUUCCAUUCUGGAGACCUAAACAAUUUCUGUAUAUAAGUGGGCAAAUGGUCUUAAGGAGCCAGACGUCCAGGCACGUUUUUACAUUCUGAUCCCCCGCUAGUCUCUGCUCCUUCUCUUUCUUCCGUCUGCCCCUCCUGCCUCCGCCAGUAACCCAGAAUCCUCCUUGUCCAUCUACCCUUCUGACCUUUCUCUCCCCCACCUGUCCGAACCAGGCCCCAGUCCAGCUCCAGCCCCUGCCCCCCCAGAGCCUCCCUCCUUUGCCUCUGCCCACUACCCACCUCCUUACGCCCCUCCUGUCACCUCCUCAACUCAUACCUAGUCCGGCUGACAGUGUAAUCCUGCAGCCAGCUCCUCCACCCCUGCCUAACAAUUCCCCCUUCGAGAGGCGGCUGGAGCCAAAGGCGCACUCAGGGUGCACGUUCCUUUCUCUCUAUCCGCGCCCGGGUGAAUAAACAGCCAUGUUGCUCACACAAAGCCUGUUUGGGGGGGUCUCUUCGUUCAGCGUGUAUGUUUUAACAAAACGGAAGAGCCAUUAGGAAGUAGCUGACAUUGCUUCCUCUCAUAUCCCACGGGUCAGAAUUCGGUCACAUGACCCCCAUGUGACCACACGAACCAUGGGUGUGACUGGGAAAGGCAGUCUUUCCGUUUGUCUAGGAGGGAGAAAUGGUGAACAUAAGGUAUCGUCUCUUCCGCCAUCCACCCCUCUGUGGACCAGCCGAAGCCCACCCAGUCACUACUCCGCCUCCAGGCCCAGCAGCUCUGAUGGAUGAGCACAUCAGGUUUGGAUAGGCCUUCUCUUGGCCCAGCAACCUAUGGAUUUCAACAUUAAGUUCUCUGUCCCCCCCGUGACAGACUGUCUUUGUGAUCCUGCUCUCUCCCCCUUUCCUGUGCCCAAGGCCAGCCACGACUUGCUGGCAUGGGACUGCGCCCAGCCAAGAUGAGUCCAGCAGAGCCCAGACACAUGAGCAGGAAAAGGUGGCCGUUGUGUGCCAUGGAGACUGUGUGGUUGCGUGUCAAUCUGUGUGUCUCAUGGUGGCCACGUCCUCCUUCACAGAGCCGGCUUCUGUAUUAGUCAGGCCAGGCCAGGCUGUGUUGUGGUAGCAAUCAGAGCCCCCCAAACCCAGCUGCUGGCAGGAGAGUGAGUGUCGGGGACUGGAGUGAUGGUUGCUAGGGAUAGUGAACCCCAAGUUUCUCUUCAAAGCAUCAGUACGUCAGUAUGUUCUAUUCUCUUAUUCUUUAAUUCUCUAUUUUAGAGUUUAACUUCCUUGCUGUUUCAGCAAACAAGCUUUUCCACCAGUUCUGAUCAGUAGUUCACAUCUGUUUCCCUGGUCCCCUGCCCCACCCAGCUCAUUCUGUCACCUGCUCUGACCCCUGCUUACCCGCUCUGACCUGCCGUAACCGUCCUUCCCACCGAACUACCCACCCGCCACUCCGGCUCACACCCCUGCUCCCUUUAAAACAGCCGGUCAGAACUAGACUAGACUGUGUGGUCUCACCCUAGCCAAUAGGGGAACGACACAGCAGUAGGGGCGCCCUCCGUCAGGACACAAGGACCCCUUCCCCUCCUUGUCCAGGUGUGUGCUCGCCAUUGCGCCAUCUGCAAGCCUCACCGUCGUGUGGAAGUAAGCUGCCUUGUGAAGGAAAUCUAUAUUCGACUGCUACUUCUGCGGCAUCAAAAAUUCGACUUAUAACAUGGGGACUUGGUGGUGCCAGAGAAGCAAGCUUGCUAAAAUCACUCCUGGUGACCUGGCAGGCUGAAUGCAAGAAGGCUCAGCCAGGAGCCCAAGGGGCAAAGUGGAAGACACCACACUGUGAGUGCUGUGUCAGGUCCGGUAGCAGGAGACAGAGACUCAGCUUACAAGCAGAGUUGAAAGUGGACAGAGAGAUGGACCCAGAAAUUCAGAGCGCUGCAAGGGCAGAAAAGCCAAUCGCUCCAAGCCUUAGGAUUUUAACAAGCUUUGUGAGCCAAAGGCCCGAUAAAUCGCCUGAGUUGGACUGAUCAACACAAGACAAAGAUGGGAUUAAGGGCCGUUCAAGCCUGAGCGCCUCUGACAGCCGCCACUGAGUUGACUGAGAGCAGAUACACCCUGAAACUGGAGUCUCCUGUGUGCAGCAGUCACGGCUCACUGUGUUCUGAAAGUUUGUGUCCCUCCAAAAGUCCUGUUCAAACCCAGUCCCCAAAGCCACGGUAGUAAGAGGGGGUGCCUUUGGAAGGCGAUGAGACCGUGGGGGCUUCACCCUCAUGUGUGGGAUCAGGGCCCUGUAAAAGAGUGAGGGAUGAGCUUGGUGCCUGUGUGCCCUUUCACCUUCUGCCACGUGAGGAUGUGGCAAGAAGGUCCUCUGAGACACCACCUCCAGGGCCAGAUUCCCAGCCUCCGAGACUGUGAGCAGUCGAUUUCUACGAUUUAUGAACUACCCAUUCUGUGGUGUUUUGUUAGAGCAACACAGACCGACAGACAUUGGUACCGGGCAGUGGGGCUGUUGCCAUAACAGACACCUGGAAGUGUGGCGGCAGAGCCGGAACCGGGUCACGGAGAGGCCGGACCCGUUCUGCGGUGCACGCUGGAAACUGCACAUUUCUGUGAAUGGAGGUGGUGCCGGGGUGACCCAGUGCGGGCCGGGGAGGGCGGGGCUGCAGAGAGAGCCUCCGGGUCCGCAGCGGUGAUCUCAGUGGUCGUGAACGGAAUGCUGGUGGAGCCUCACAGUCAGGGCCAUCCUCGUGAGGUCUUCCACAGACGUGAGAACUCUCUGAUUGGAAACUGGGGGAGGGCCGUCCUUUUUACAAAGCGGCAAAGAACUUGGCUGAAUUGCGUCUGAGCCCUGGGGCUCCGUGGGAGGCAGGAUUUAAAGCGAUGAACUAGAAGAGCUGGUGGGAGAAAUCGCUAAGCAAAGCGCUCUGGCUUCUGUUGACCGCUCACAGCCAGAGGCGAGGAAAGAGAGGUGCGGUAAAGACAUUGAUAGCAGAAGGAACAGACUGGAAAGACUGGGACAACUCUCAGCCGGCCCACGUCAAGGAUAAGGAAGUGUGUUCAGGAGAGAACAGCAAGGGCGUGGCCGGACAAAUCUGGAUCAGAUUAGUGUGGAUAGAAGGAUGCUGGGAGCUGCUCAUCAAGCCAACAGGAGAAUGACCCCCGAGGCAGUUUGGAGAUCUUCCCGGCUGUCAUGCCCAUUACAGGCUCAGAGUGCCAGGGCUUUAGGGCAGAACGGCUUCAAAGGAAGAGCCCGGGGCCUCCGUGAGACCUUGGGGUGUGCUGUCCAGCCCUGCCUCAAUCUCUUUUCCUCUUGCAAGCUGGUGCAUCACUCCUGGCCCAGCCAUGUGACCCAGCGGAGGCUCACAUGGGUCCAGGUGUUCCUUGGGCUGCCAGCCCAGAAGGUGCAGGCAGUAAACCUCUAUGGUGUCAGCACGGUGCCAGCUCUGCAGGUGUGCAGAGUGCACAAGCUGUGGAGGAAAGGCUCCUCCUCCUGGAUUCCAGUGGGUGUCAUGGAAAGCCUGGGGCCCAGGCAGAGAACUGCCACUGGGUUGGGCCAUGGAGAGUUCCCAAAGGACAAUGCCUAGUUGUGCCAAGGAAGCAGAGGACACCCCAAGACUCCAGAUGUGCAGAGUCACCAGCAUGCACCAGCAGCCUGGGAAAGCCACAGGCACACGAAGCUGUAGGUGUGAGGCCACCAGCAGCCUUGGGGGUCCAAUCCUUGCCCCAGUGUGUCCAGAAGGUAGGACAAAGAGUCAAGGACAAUUAUUCUUAAGCUUUAAGAUUUAAUUUUUCCCCGUUGGGUUUUGGAUUUGGUCGUGUUCAGUCACUGCUUUCCUUCUGGUUUCUGGUGUUUGGGAUGGAAUUGUCCAUCCUUAGCCUGUGCCGCUGUCCGUUUUCCGGUAGCACCUGCAUGUCGGGCAGACCAUCUCCAAGUAUGCCCAGAGCCUUCUCUUCCUGUGUCAGCUGAUCAGAGGGAACUCCCCACGUGGCAAGAGAUGCAGGUGGCAAGAGAGAAGGAACUGGGGCGGGGGUGGGGGCCACAGGCGUUUAGGCCACUGAUUCAUGUCACUUACUUGUGCCUUCAGGACCUGCUUGAACCUGGUCACAUACUCAUCACUGUCACUCACGUGGAGUGCUGCUGUGAGCACCCAACUUUAUAGCAAGUGGGUCAGAUAAGCUUUAGAUCAUCAUGGGCCACUCAGGUCAUGUGGCAAGUUGGUGGCCCUUGGUUAAGUGUUUAGUUUCUAUGAAGACCUAGAAGCAGGGUGAUACAGUUAGGCUUUGUGUCCCCACCCAAAUCUCAUCUUUUUAUUUUUUUAUUGUUUUUAUUGAGACGGAGUUUCGCUCUUGUUACCCAGGCUGGAGUGCAAUGGCACGAUCUCGGCUCACCGCAACCUCCGCCUCCUGGGUUCAGGCAAUUCUCCUGCCUCAGCCUCCCGAGUAGCUGGGAUUACAGGCACGCGCCACCAUGCCCAGCUAAUGUUUUGUAUUUUUAGUAGAGAUGGGGUUUCACCAUGUUGACCAGGAUGGUCUCGAUCUCUUGACCUCAUGAUCCACCCUCCUUGGCCUCCCAAAGUGCUGGGAUUAUAGGCGUGAGCCACCGCGCCCGGCCCCAGUCAAAUCUUGAAGUGUAAUUCCCACAUGUUAAGGGAGAGACCUGGUGGGAGGUGACUGGCUUAUGGGGGCUGUUCCCCCCCAUGCUGUUCUCAUGAUAGUGAGUUCUCACGCACGAAAUCUGAUGGUUUUACAAGUGUUUGGUAGUUCCUCUCUUGCUCGUUCUUCUCCCACUAGCCGCCAUGUAAAACAUGCCUACUUUCCCUUCCACCGUGAUUGUAAGUUUCCUGAGGCCUCCCCAGCCAUGCAGAACUGUGAGUCAAUUAAGCCUCUUUCCUUUAUAAAUGACCCAGUCUUGGGUAUUAUCUUUGUAGCAGUGUGAAAAAGACAGACUAAAACACAGUUCAAGACCUGUUUCCCAAAAGGAGAGUGGUUAUCCGUGGAUGAUGACAGGGCCUUUCUCCAAAAUCCUAAGGGCCCGAGCUGUGAGUCACCAACCUGGGCUUGGCAAAGACUGCACACAGUGUCCCUGCCUGCCACUGACACCUCAGGCUGGAACUGCUGGGUCGUGUGGUCCAUGUGGCGGAGCAGCUUGCACGGAGCCUGGACCUGCUGCUGGACCACGUUCAAAAGUAGCAGCUUUGAAAUCACUCAGUAGGUGGCCAGAGUCUGACACCUAAAUGAGGAAGAACCCGUCUUCUUCACAUCGAACGGGCCCACGUGAUGUUGGUCUCUCCUGGCUGUAAGAGGGUUCAGAGGUAACAACCUAUGCAUCACCCUGGAGCAGGCCCCACACCACCCGGCUCCUAGAAAUCUCACCGAGGUAGAAGGCUCUGAAUCUUAGUGGGAUGCAUUUCCCACUCUCUGACACCAAUAAGUAUAGAACAAUUGCUACUUCCUGUGCCUUAUGUCCAACUAGCAUACUGUUUUCAGCGUAAUGGGCCAGUGUGACAUGCUGGGGAAGGGAAGGGUGAUCCAGACCCCGAGAAUUACCUCCGACACAGGCUGGGGAGGUGAGAGACCUCUGAGGUGGAACGGAGAGGGUGCGCUGUUGGCCGGGCUUCUGCUUGGCCCUGUAGACAGGGGUGGAGAAGAAAGCAUUGGUAGGUCAUUGGCAGUGUCUCAGGUAGCAGAAGAUGUGCCACUUCGCUCAAACAAUGGAGCCACGUCUGGCUCAGCAGCUGCAGCUGGAGUCAAGCUUAGGUCAAUCCCCUGUCAUUCUCCAGGGCCCGCCUGUCUUCCCUACUGGCCACAUAGGUGAGUGAAGCGGGGCCGAGGUGGGGAUCACUGCCCCUUCAUCUUUCAGUCAUUUGAUGGUGGCACUAACCUCCGAAAUUCCUCCGGAAAUGCAGCUUUGGACUGAUUAUUUUUGUAUCGCUUUUGGCUCUCUAUUUUCCUAGGUAGAGGCAGCUCUAAUGGCUUCCACUUGACCCACCACAGUAACCCUCACUCCACAUGUCAGGACACCCAUGUGGGGACACGGCCAGUGGCUGAAGACAGGUGUGCACAGCGUAAGGAUGCUUUGGUUGAGAAUGGGUACGAGUAUGAUGGUGGUGCCAUAGAUUAUCAUGGAGCUGACAAUGUCCUGUCGCCUGGUGACAUUGCAGCACAGUGCGUUUUGCAUUAGUCCUUUCUCACACUGCUAACAAAGGACAUCCCCAAGCCUGAGCAAUUUAUAAAGGAAAGAGGUUUAAUUGACUCACAGUUCAGCAUGGCUGGGGAGGCCUCGGGAAACUUACAAUCACGGUGGAAGUGGGAGCAGACAGGUCCUUCACAUGGUGGCAGGAAGGAGAAGUGCCAAACAAAAGGGGGAAAACCCCUUAUAAAACCAGAUCUUGAGCCAGCUCACAGAACCAGACUCCCUUAAAUCAAGAUAAGGCUGGGUCUUCUCUGAGAGAACUCACACACUACCAGGAGAGCGGCGUGGGGGUAACCACCUCCAUGAUUCAGUCACCUCCCACCAGGUCCCUUUCACAACACGUGGGGAUUGUGGGAACUACAAUCCAAGACGAGAUGUGGGCUGGGAAGCAGCCAAACCAUGUCAAUUACUCAUGUGUUUUGUGGUGGCGCUGGUAUAAGUCAACCUGCCGUGCUCCCAGUCAUAUAAAAUUGUCUAGCACAUACACUGGACAGUGAUAACAAACCACGCUGCUGGUUGAUAGACUCACUACACUUCGUACUGUUGUUUCACAGUGUACUCCGUCUACUUACGUAGAAAACGAGUUAAAUGUAAAACCGCCUCAGCCAGUUUCCUAAGGAGGUGUCCGGAAUAAGGCGCUGUUAUCACCGGAGGUGACAGUUCAAUGCAUGCCGCUGCCCGUGAAGACCGUGCAGUCACAAGACUGGACAAGGUGUGACAGUGGAAGAAGUGAAACUGAUGAUCUUCACCCUGUGUAGGCCAAGGCUCAUGUGUGUGUUUGUGUCUUUGCUUAUUUUUUUUUUUUAACUUACUUUUUUUUAAAUUGUACUUUAAGUCCGGGGUACAUGUGCAGAUCGUGCAGGUUUGUUACGUAGGUAUUCACGUGCCAUAAUGGUUUGCUGCAUCCAUUCCCCCGUCAUCCACAUUAGGUAUUUCCCCUGACCCCCCAACCCCUGCUGUCCCUCCCCUAGCCCCCCACCCCUCGACAGGUGCCAGUGUGUGGUGUUCCCCUCCCUGUGUCCAUGUGUUUUCAUUGUUCAACACCCACUUAUGAGUGAAAACAUGAGGUGUUUGGUUUUCUGUUCUCGUGUCAGUUUGCUGAGAAUGAUGGUUUCCAGCUUCAUCCAUGGCCCUGUGAAGGACAUGAACUCAUCCUUUUUUAUGGCUGCAUAGUAUUCCAUAGUGUAUAUGUGCCGCAUUUCCUUUAUCCAGUCUAUCAUUGUGUCUUAGUUUUUAGCAAAAAAGUUUAAAAGUAAAAAAAAAAAAUACAUAAUUAGGCAGGAAGGUAUUAGAGUGGCCUGCACAUUUUACCCUACAUCAGUGGGCUCCACCCCACAGCCUAGGUGGGCAGUAGUCUCUCUCAUCUAGGUGUGUGUAAGUAUAUCCUAUGAUGUUCACACAACGGUGAAAUCCCCUGAUGGCGAAAUCUCCUAAGGAUGCAUUUCUCGGAACGUACCCAUCAUUGACACACGGAAUAGGCAGUAUGUCUAUUCCGACUAUGCAGUCUGUAACCUGCGGAAGAACCAACAGUGGGUUUGGGAAUCCCCUGAGCCAAGAGUGAGAUCAACCUGACCUGAAGUCCACCCAUCGCCUCAUGCCCCACGAGCCCCUGCUCUGACUGCAGGGCCACAGGGACACUUCCAGUCUUCUAGAAUCAGUGUGGGUUCAGAGCCAGUGUCCAGCAGUCCUCAGUAAAUCUGAUUAUUUCGUCCCCCCGCCCCGUGCAUAGUUACCCUGGGAAAGCAUGAGGAGGCUGGGGGAAAGAGCAACAGUAUCAAUCCUUCCUGGGGAAGACCCAGCCUCCUUUUGAUUUAAGGAGUCUGGGUAAGCGGGCUCAAGACUGUGAAUUGACUGAAGGACUGUUGACUCUCUGCUUUUAUGAUUCAGGCUAGAGUUCUGUCCGUCGAACCUGGGAGUUUUCUGCUUGCUCAGAUCCAGUAAGAAUUUGGUAGGCUUCCUGUCUAUUUUACUUUGUGGACAAAAAAAGCACUAAACGCUGUAAAAUAUGUAAAGAGGUUUAUUGUGAGCCAGAGGCACAGUCUCAAGAGGUCCUGAGAACAGGAGCCCAAGGUGAUGAUUGGGUUGCACCUGGGUUUUUGUUUUUUUUUUUUUUGAGAUGGAGUUUCGCUCUUGUUACCCAGGCUGGAGUACAAUGGCGCGAUCUCGGCUCACCACACCCUCGACCUCGUGGGUUCAGGCAAUUCUCCUGCCUCAGCCUCCUGAGUAGCUGGGAUUACAGACACGCGCCACCACGCCCAGCUAAUUUUUGUAUUUUUAGUAGAGACGGGAUUUCACCAUGUUGACCAGGAUGGUGUCGAUCUCUUGACCUCGUGAUCCACCCACCUCAGCCUCCCAAAGUGCUGGGAUUACAGGCGUGAGCCACCGCACCCGGCCAUGCACCUGGGUUUUAUACAUUUUAGGGAGACAUCCAUCAAUACAUGUGAGGUUUCUCCGGGUUCAGUCUGGAAAGGCUGGACAACUCAAAGUGGGCAGUGUGGACUUCCAGGCCACAGCAGAUUCAGAGUUUCUGAUUGACAAUUGGUUGAAAGAAGUUGUGAUCUAAAGACCUGGAAUCAAUAGAAAGGAGUGCCUGGGGUAAGACAAGGGGUGGUGGAGACCAAGGUUCUUAUUAUGUAGAUUGAGUCUCACAGGUGGCUGCCCUGAGAGACAGACGUUAGAGGACAGAUGUUUCCUAUUCAGACCUUUGAAGGGUGCUAGAGUCUCAGUUAAACUCUUCAGAACUGGGAAAGCCCGAAAAGGGAAAUAUUUAAUUAUAUUAGAGACUCCUUAAAAAUGCAAAUUUCCUUCCACAAAAGACAGUGUUGCAGGGCCAGCUCAAAAUAUGGCAAAACACAUAUUUUGGAAUAAAACAUUUUGAUUUCUU